UGCAAGUCGAACGGUGAAGCGAGAGCUUGCUCUCGUGGAUCAGUGGCGAACGGGUGAGUAACACGUGAGUAACCUGCCCCAGACUCUGGGAUAAGCCUUGGAAACGAGGUCUAAUACCGGAUACGAGACGAGAUCGCAUGGUCAUCGUCUGGAAAGAAUUUCGGUCUGGGAUGGACUCGCGGCCUAUCAGCUUGUUGGUGAGGUAAUGGCUCACCAAGGCGACGACGGGUAGCCGGCCUGAGAGGGCGACCGGCCACACUGGAACUGAGACACGGUCCAGACUCCUACGGGAGGCAGCAGUGGGGAAUAUUGCACAAUGGGCGCAAGCCUGAUGCAGCGACGCCGCGUGGGGGAUGAAGGCCUUCGGGUUGUAAACCCCUUUCAGCAGGGAAGAAGCGAAAGUGACGGUACCUGCAGAAGAAGCGCCGGCUAACUACGUGCCAGCAGCCGCGGUAAUACGUAGGGCGCAAGCGUUGUCCGGAAUUAUUGGGCGUAAAGAGCUCGUAGGCGGUCUGUCGCGUCUGCUGUGAAAACCCGAGGCUCAACCUCGGGCCUGCAGUGGGUACGGGCAGACUAGAGUGUGGUAGGGGAGACUGGAAUUCCUGGUGUAGCGGUGGAAUGCGCAGAUAUCAGGAGGAACACCAAUGGCGAAGGCAGGUCUCUGGGCCACUACUGACGCUGAGGAGCGAAAGCAUGGGGAGCGAACAGGAUUAGAUACCCUGGUAGUCCAUGCCGUAAACGGUGGGCACUAGAUGUGGGGCUCUUUCCAUGAGUUCCGCGUCGCAGCUAACGCAUUAAGUGCCCCGCCUGGGGAGUACGGCCGCAAGGCUAAAACUCAAAGGAAUUGACGGGGGCCCGCACAAGCGGCGGAGCAUGCGGAUUAAUUCGAUGCAACGCGAAGAACCUUACCAAG
rnacentral:rRNA from 1 species